rnacentral:rRNA from 1 species
CCUACGGGUGGCAGCAGUGAGGAAUAUUGGUCAAUGGACGAGAGUCUGAACCAGCCAAGUAGCGUGAAGGAUGACUGCCCUAUGGGUUGUAAACUUCUUUUACAUGGGAAUAAAACGUUCCACGUGUGGGAUUUUGUAUGUACCAUAUGAAUAAGGAUCGGCUAACUCCGUGCCAGCAGCAGCGGUAAUACGGAGGAUCCGAGCGUUAUCCGGAUUUAUUGGGUUUAAAGGGAGCGUAGGUGGAUUGUUAAGUCAGUUGUGAAAGUUUGCGGCUCAACCGUAAAAUUGCAGUUGAUACUGGCAGUCUUGAGUACAGUAGAGGUAGGCGGAAUUCGUGGUGUAGCGGUGAAAUGCUUAGAUAUCACGAAGAACCCCGAUUGCGAAGGCAGUUCACUGGACUGCAACUGACACUGAGGCUCGAAAGUGUGGGUAUCAAACAGGAUUAGAUACCCCUGUAGUC